rnacentral:rRNA from 1 species
UACGGAGGAUCCAAGCGUUAUCCGGAAUCAUUGGGUUUAAAGGGUCCGUAGGCGGUUUAGUAAGUCAGUGGUGAAAGCCCAUCGCUCAACGGUGGAACGGCCAUUGAUACUGCUGAACUUGAAUUAUUAGGAAGUAACUAGAAUAUGUAGUGUAGCGGUGAAAUGCUUAGAUAUUACAUGGAAUACCAAUUGCGAAGGCAGGUUACUACUAAUUGAUUGACGCUGAUGGACGAAAGCGUGGGGAGCGAACAGG